rnacentral:rRNA from 1 species
GACGAACGCUGGCGGCGCGCCUAACACAUGCAAGUCGAACGGAGCGCAGCUGAAGAUUUCCUUCGGGGAUGAUUCAGCUGUUGCUUAGUGGCGAACGGGUGAGUAACACGUGAAUAACCUGCCCCGGAGUGGGGGACAACAUCUGGAAACAGAUGCUAAUACCGCAUAAGACCACAGUACCGCAUGGUACAGUGGCCAAAGGAGCAAUUCGCGCUGGGAUGGAUUCGCGUCCAAUUAGCUAGAUGGUGGGGUAACGGCUCACCAUGGCGACGAUUGGUAGCCGGACUGAGAGGUUGAUCGGCCACAUUGGGACUGAGACACGGCCCAGACUCCUACGGGAGGCAGCAGUGGGGAAUAUUGCACAAUGGACGAAAGUCUGAUGCAGCGACGCCGCGUGAGGGAAGAAGGUUUUCGGAUUGUAAACCUCUGUCUUCGGGGACGAAACAAAUGACGGUACCCGGAGAGGAAGCCACGGCUAACUACGUGCCAGCCGCCGCAGUAA